GGGUCAGUAGGUUGGUCGUGCCACCGGUACGUACUGGUCUCACUGAUUCCUCCUUCCUGAAGAACCGUAAUGCCAUUAAUUUGGUGUUGCGGGGAAACAGGACUGUUACUUUGAAAAAAUUAGAGUGUUUAAAGCAAGCUAACGCUUGAAUACAUUAGCAUGGAAUAAUGAAAUAGGACGUUCGAUCCUACGUUGUUGGUUUCUAGGAUUGAGGUA
rnacentral:rRNA from 1 species